rnacentral:rRNA from 1 species
AGCGGCGAACGGGUGAGGAACACGUGAGAAAUCUGCCUUUCAACACUGGGAUAACUCCGGGAAACCGGGGCUAAUACCGGAUAUGAAACCUGCGGGCAUCCGCGGGUUUGGAAAGUUUUUUCGGUUGAAGAUGAUCUCGCGGCCUAUCAGCUUGUUGGUGAGGUAAUGGCUCACCAAGGCGACGACGGGUAGCCGGCCUGAGAGGGCGACCGGCCACACUGGGACUGAGACACGGCCCAGACUCCUACGGGAGGCAGCAGUGGGGAAUAUUGGGCAAUGGAGGAAACUCUGACCCAGCGACGCCGCGUGCGGGAUGAAGGCCUUCGGGUUGUAAACCGCUUUCAGUAGGGAAGAAGCGAAAGUGACGGUACCUGCAGAAGAAGCACCGGCUAACUAUGUGCCAGCAGCCGCGGUAAUACAUAGGGUGCAAGCGUUGUCCGGAAUUAUUGGGCGUAAAGAGCUCGUAGGUGGUUCGUCACGUCGGAUGUGAAACUCUGGGGCUUAACCCCAGACCUGCAUUCGAUACGGGCGAGCUUGAGUAUGGUAGGGGAGUCUGGAAUUCCUGGUGUAGCGGUGGAAUGC